rnacentral:lncRNA from 10 species
AGCUGCCUUUCCUAAAUUCUUCACAAAUUGGCCAGUUAGAAGCACAAUGGGCCAUUCACAGGAACCAUGUUUUAUUCCAUCCUUACCCUUUCAUUCUAUGCUUUACAGGUACAACUGGUCAGGGAGAACCAAUGGCAGACAUGUGCUAUAUCCCAACACACCUUGACUCUUGCUCUCACCGGAAGCUCAGCUUAGGGAAAGGAGAUCUUAAUAGGAGACAGAAGACCCGGACGCUGGUUUUGAUUGUGCCCUUCUCCAGCUGUGUGGCCUUGAGCAGCUGGUAUGUGGCAACGACCUGACUUCAACCAGGAAGACAAGGUUGAUGACCUAAGGAAUAGCACUGUAGCAAAUGGAAGGAUCCCUGAGUGACUGUGUGGAGCAGAGCCCUCCUACCAGCCUGGACUAGCCAACAUAAGAUUAAGAUAUUUUUUACAUAAAGCAUACUGCAUGGGUGUCCUACUGGUGAUGGAAAAAGAAAUGAAAGCAUCUCUCAAAAGGGUCAAACCAAGGCCAGGUUUUAUUUGGUGUUUGAGAAAACCUGGAUUAUUUGGGUCAGGAGAAAAUUUUGGACUUCCUGCUAAUCACAGGAUUUCAACAGCAAGCGUCUUCAAAUCAUGUGUGACAUCCCCUGGCUGAUAAGAGCCUUCCCACCUCAUCUCAAGGAAGGCAACACCUUUCAUAACUACUAGAAUGACUACACUUGCCUCACUAAAUUGUAGUUGUUGAACCACAAACUUGAUUCCUACUUCUGUAAAAAUAAAUCAGAAUUAAAAUGAUUAAGAUAUGGAAUUGAGCCUCCAUGAGGUUUCAGCAGGCAUCCAUAACCUACAGGGUUAUGACAGUCAUAUUUUCUGAAUCCCAAAUCAGGACAUGGGACCAUGGAAAUAGAGAAGACCAUCAAGCAGAACGUUUGACUUCAGUUCUGUCGUGAAGAUUCUGGGUUUUCAAUCCUUCUAACUACAGUACUAGAUGACAAAGAUGAUUUAUUGCACAUUAAGCACUCAUGAGUGCUCUAUUAACCUCAUUCCUUGGAAUGAUUGUUUUAAAACAACUUUCCAUUUUUGCUAUUAAAAUACCUACUACUUGGGAGACUGAGGCAGGAGAAUCACUUGAACCCGGGAGGUGGAGGCUGCAGUGAGCCGAGACUGCACCACUGCACUCCAGACUGGGCAACAGAGUGAGACUCUGUCUCAAAAAAAAAAAAAGUAAUGCAUAUUAAUUGAAGAAAAUAUAGACAUGGAAAGGAAAGAAAAUCAUCCAUCCAUAAUUUCACAACCCAGAGAUAACAACCACUAACAGCUUAAUAAAUAGCAUUUCAACUUUUUUGUGUGUAUAUUUAUAUAUUUU